CAGAGGAUAGAUGAUAAUUCAUAGUAAUUAAGGUAUUAUGCUAAACAUGGAAUUAAAUACACUUCUGCUGUCUCUGUUCUUUCAGACAUUGCUGAUGACAAGUCUAAAGAGAACAGCAAAUCUGCUGAUCAAACAGAGAAUAGGAGCAGCCAGGAGACGUAUGGACCUUUGGAUUCUGUGACAGACCAAAAGAGGAAGAGGAGAAUGGACACUGAGAGAGGAAGAGAGGAACAGUUGUCUCAAAAGUUGUCUGAGACUGAGGCCAAUUUUGUUGACAUUUACUUACCUGAAAAACUUCAGACUAAAGAGAGAAGCAGAAAAGUCUAUCUCUCUAAAGAAUCCCUGAGUGAUAGCCAGAAUAUUAUUGAUCAGAGUCAGGAGUGUGUGCAGAUGUCCAGCUGGAUGAUGGGAUAUGCAGAAGGGGAAAACAUUAGCAUAGGUGGUGCAGGUGUACAGCCACAGAGUAAAGAGGGAGUCACAAUUUAUGACGGGCCAAGGAAAUCAUGUGCUGGUAGAAAGAGACUGAGGACACCAAGAACUCAGAGAGAGCAGCUGGACACAGAUAGUGCAGAAAGAGUUAGCAGUAAGCUUCUAGACCAAGAGAACAGCAAUGAGAGUAUUCCAGCUCAAAACCUGUGACCUUUUUCAGUUUAGAACUCUUAUUAUUUUUGCUUGUUAUUUUUGCUUGUUGUUGUGAUCCUAUAACUGUUAAAAAUGGUCCAAACCUUU